GCCAAGCAGCAUUCUAACUAGGAAAAUAUUACAAAAUGUUCUUCCCCCUCUCCCAGCAGAAAUGUACUAAGAAAAUUAAGCCGGAUGAAGAACUGCCAAGAAUCUCGUUUUUUAACUUAAGUCUCCUUCUGAAUGCAAAGUGUUAGCUUGUGCGCAUGGUCAGAAGUGAUGGAGGACAGGAAAUGGCCUCGAUCAACAGCACCUAUUGUGCCUUAGUGCAGAGACCCUGACGCAUCUGGGAGUUUCUUAACUCUUUCAGUCUCAUAGGAGAGUAUGAAAAUACUGGCACCUUACUUCACAAAUUCAUGAAGCAGGAUGACAGCAGCCUUGGGUAGGAGAAGCAGCAUUUGGAGGGAGAGCUGGGCAGACAAAGAAGAGGGCUCAGAAGAACUAUCCAGAAAGCCCCAAGGAAGAGGCCAUUUUCUGACUGUUGCUGCUUGUGGUCCCGGGCAAGGCGGUUCUGCGUACAAUGUAGUGAGAUUAGGUAGCAAGACCCCCCCCCCCAAGAGGACUGUGUUCACUCCUUCCACCAAGAAUGCCAAGCACCCUGAAAAUAGUAGGGGUGUGAGUUCAUCCAUCUGCUCAGUAAACUUCACCUGAAAGAAGAGAUGUUCCUUGAUUUCAUCUGCAUCCCGAGGACCACAUCCCAAUCUCUUCUUGGGAUCUUUCGUCAGAAGACGCUGAAUCAGGUCUUUAGCUAACGCGCUCAUCUCCUGUGGAUACGGAGGCUCACUUUUCAAUAUCCUCCUGUAGGCAAAUGAAACUUGCUGUUAAACAACCAGAGGAUGGAGUCACAGUGAUUUUUUUUUUUUUAGCAAAAACAAGUAUGGUGAGACACACUUUGAAACUCAACUACAUGAGAGAGAAAGACAUUUUGAGAUGAAUCAAUAGUAUCUCAGUAAAGCUGAAGAAAUAUUUCAAACUGAGAUAUCAUAAAGUCAAAUUUGUGAAACUCACAGAUGUUUUUCAAUAUAAGUCAAUCCUGAGGGAAGGCUACAAAUCCAAAUACAUUACUGGGGAAGAUAAAAGAGGGUGUGGACUAGAACAGAACACACACACACACACACACACACACACACACACACACACACGUUGGGCUCUCUGAAUAAGGACUUUACAACAGAAAGAACUCAACAAAGUCAGGCAAGUAAACGCAGCAGCAUCCAGAAUCAAAAGGAAAAAAGAGAACCGUCAUUGUCCCCACCUCCCUGAGUGCCAGUCAUUGUGAGGGCCACUGGGAAUCGAGAGGGCAGCUGAGCAAGAUGGGCGAGGCCGAGCCACCCAGACAAGGGUCAGUUCUAAUAUGUGAAAAUGGGCCUGGGGUGGCAGCUUUUCAUGGAGCGCGAGCAAGUGCGUGCUUCAAUAUUUGCUGCUGUAAAGGAAACAGGGCCUUUAGGAAGGAGGAGCUCGGAGAGUGAAGUCUAUUAUGGAAAAUUAAAAAAAAAAAAAAAAAAGAGGAAACCAAGUUUCUUGAUGAGAAAUUUAUUCUGGUCACAAAAGAAAUCAAUCCAAUCCAAGUGUACCUUUCCCCCUCAUAGAAGCAAGAUUAAUCAUUUAAUGAGAAAAAUAAGGGAAGAGCUUGAUUGAAAUUAAAACCUCCACAGAGAUGCAUGAAGACGAAGACUCCAUUAUCUGCACGCGCAGGAUUCUCCUGUUGUGCAUGUUAAUGUAUCAUGGGACAAAACCAGGAGAGUGGAAGAACACAGACUAUGAGGCCAAACAGAUCCAUGCUGGCUCUGUUCCUUACUGGUUGUGUGACCUUGAGAAAGGAAGGCUGUACCCCACUCCGGGAGGCUAUUCUGAACCUGGCACCAGGGAAAGCAAGAGCCAGUCCUGUGAAGGAAGAUACAACAGAAAGAUGUCCACCUUGGUGGGUCCUCUCAAGAGGAGGUGCACCUGAAAACAGGGAUGGCUCUGCUGAGAUGCCAAGCCAGGAAAGAGGAGCAUACCAAGACCACGGCUCAGGUCAGGAGCUUGUUCUGGGCACAGGAACAGUAGUAGCAAGUGGACAGCCUGUGCUGGGUGCAGGGGCCAACCUUUUAGAUUCUGAUGAGAGAGGAGGCUGAUAUGGUAUGAUAUGAGCUGUAGCCUCAUCAGUCCACCUCAGCCUACCAGAAAGCAGGAAGUAAGGUCGAGCCGCUCCCUCCCGGCCUGUCCAGCACACGUGAACUCAAUCUGCAUAUGUACUUUGAGCCUCACUUGCUGUCUCUUCUCCUUUAAAACCCUUGCUUGCCCUCAGAGAUGUUGAAGACAGAAUUUUUGCAAACAAUAAGUUCCUUCUAUCUUCCUUCAAAACUGGCUUCAAAUAAAAUCUAUUUUACUAGCAAUUUGAUUCCAAAUAUUUCUGGAGUGCCAAGGGUUGUAGUCUGGCCUCUACAUGGGGCUGAUAUUGGUGCCACCUGGUAACAAAAACAUGUGCUUCUGUGUGUUGCUCUUCUAUCCAUAAUGGGCCUUGGAAGCCACGCACGUGGGCAACCAGUAGACAAGAGCUGCCGAGCUGAGCUUCCUAUGCUGGGUUGGUCCUCGCCACCACAUGGUCCCAUCCCUACUGGCUUAGAGGAUCCUGUGGUCUGGGAAACAUUGCCAAGGUCUCUAGAAGGGCAUACACUGAUUCCUGCCCUGUGUCCUUCUGCAAAGCUGAGUUGUACUGGUGUCAGAUUCCAGUCUAUUGUGACAUGCGACUGAGCAUGCUGAUCUGAGCCCCAGGCUGCUGAUGGCUGUGCAGAGUGGGCAUGCAGGGGCGGGCUGACCGUGCAGGGUCUUGUGGGACAUGUGUCCCUCAACACUGGAGCAUCUGCAGCAAGGAGGCGUUUCUUGGCCAUUGCUGCCACUUCACUUCCUUCAAUGGGGCUUGAUUUCCAACUUGGUAAUAACCCCAAAUUAUUCAUUUUCUUGCUUCCAGAUGAAUCUGGGAAACUCCAGAAAUGAGCUGCAAUUAUGUAGGCCUAAAUAAAUCUUAGAGCCUCCUGUAAAAUUAGAACAGGCUCUGAGUUGAUAGAUAACACUCAACAUUUUAUCUUAUCAUUUAAUACAACGAUUUCAUUAAAAGCUGCUACUAUUAUUCCUGUUUAUAGAGGAGAAAAUAUUCCUUUCUAAAAAGCAGUAAAUAUAAAUACUGCAGGAAGGUAUUUUAGAACAUGCAUGACUUUAAUAUUGAUUUGCAGGAAUAAGCAUGUGACACAGUUAAGAAAAUUCUGAAAAAGAAAACUGGGGCUGAUGUGCCUAACUACUUAUUAAAAUGCAUUGUAAAGCAAAAUUGUGAAAGUGAGGUGGCAAAGUAAGUCAACAGCCAAAUAAGUGAACAGAAGAGACUUCUUGAAAGCACCGAGGCAUUUAUGAAGACAGCAUUGUUCGUAAAAAGUGACCAGCCCCAUAGGAAAGGCUGCGUGAUUCAACAAACGCUUUGAGGAUAGAGCUACAUGGGAAAUAAACACACCAGGGCAAGACCCCUGCUUUGCACCAUGAUCCCAAAUAAACUCCAAAUAGACUGACAAAUUACAAGAAAAAUUCAAAAUUAAAUAAAAUUAUAAAGUCCAUAAAAACAUAAAAAUAUAAUUCCUUCCUAUUUGUGAGAGUUUUUUAUCUGAAAACCGCUGUGAUAAAAGAAAUUCACAACUGACUAGCAAGAAGAACUUAUGAGAUGUGGGUUAAGGACACCAAGGUUAAAAAUCAACUCUGUGAUGGGAGAGAGACAGAGACGGGCAGACGGACAAUGAGCCAGGAUAGUAAAAUAUUCAUGGUUCCACCUCGCAGGGAGUGUGUGGGCCUCCACUGUUAACAAAAGUCCAAAACUUUUCAUAAUAAAUGUUUUAGAAAAAGAGAACUUAUGGAACUCUGUAUGUAGGUUUCAUUAAAAUAGACCACAAAGAACGGCCUCUGGAAGACAGCACCACUGGCUGUGGGCACAGCUGUCACCAGCUAAGCUCUUCGACCGAGGGUUGUUGCGCUUUUGGAGAGGCGCUCCUAGCCAUUCUGCCAAAGUUAACCGUCCCCCCACCUUCUUCUGCUCCAUUUUCUUUUUCUUCGUGGCAUUUAUAGCACAUUAUCUACUUGGGUGCCUCUUGUCACUCCUGACUAAAAUGCAAGCUCCCUGGGAGUAAGGAUUCCCGGUGUUUAUUCCCUGCUUCAUUCACAGGGCCUAGAACACGGCUUAGCCUAGCGCACGGCUUAGCCUAGAGCACGUCUGUUUUCCAUUUGCUACACCUUGUUUCCUCUGGCCCUUCCUUCCUCAGUUCAAUAAGAUGCCUGCAAACAACUCUAUCAUUUGUUAGCAGAGAGCAUGGGUUCUUGGGGUGGGUUCUUUCUCUUUGUCCUCCAUUUAGAAGUUUGCCAGCGUGGGCUGGGAAGUAGCUCAGUGGAGAGCACAUGUGUGAGGCCCAUUCAUCAACCUUCCUAUUGCACAACUUGAUGCUGCCGGCUCUCCCUUUCUGGUUCCCAUGUGGUCCAAGAUUUACAGAAUUACUUAUACACCAGUCUGGGUAAGAAAGAGCUUUCAGCAAACUUUACUUACUUUAAAGUUUUUGCCCCAAACUAGAGAAAUACGCGUGGGGUGUUCACUCAGUAGUAUAUUACACAGGCACUGGAAACUCAUGUUUACAAAGAGUCUGUAACUAUAGAGGGCUUAUGAGAUGAAUUCAAGCAAAAACUGAGAAACACAAAACCAUGUUUCUAGUAUGAACACAUCACACCAGUGAAAGAAGGACUCUACAAAACAUGAGCAGUAUGUUGUUUCUGGGUACUAUUGUCAGUUUUCCCUUUACUCACGUUGUAACAUUACUUUUAGAAUAGGAACAAUAAAAUAAAGCUUCAUUUGUAAGAUCACAGAUCCAGAACAGAACACAGCAAGGCAGGGAGACAAGGGAGUCUAGAACCUUCUACAGGAGCACCCCCACCCCAGUGCCGCUGUGUACUCCUGCCACCAUCUGAAAGCCAUCCUGUUCCCCCCGCACCUUCAGCCCACACUGCUCCUCCAUUAUGAUGCCUCCCUGACAACCCGGUCCCCAAGGAACCACACUCCUUCAAACUUCGUGACAUCCUUACCACUCUCACUUUCAAAGCUCCCUGCUAUCAUGAAUUUUCAUGUAUUUCUUUCAUAUCUUCCCACAUACUAUAUAAGUUUGCUUAGAACAAGGAGUAAGUCCUUAUAUUUUUCUUCCUCCUUAGGAGUAAAAAUCUACCUAAUUACUCCACUGAUUAGAGCAAUCACGCCCCUUGUGUGGGCCAUUAUUUACAGCCUUUAUCUAAAAUAACAUCUGCUGGACUAGGGAAAAAAAACAGCAGCAGGAAGCAAGUGUUCCUGGUGGGACAGCACCAAGCAACCUUCCAGUCACCUUGCACUUGACCCUGGUCCAGUCUCACAGCAGCAUCUUCUUCCUAGAAGUGGUAGAUACCACCCAGAAUUGCGCUUCCUCCCAGUGUCCAAGGCUUCCUUAGGACGCCAUGCUGGUGUGCCUGGGUUCCUCUCAGAUUCUCACACAGAACCAAGUCUCUGCCAGAAGAAAGUUACAAAGAGACCUGUGAAGCUACUUCAAACCUCCCCUCCCCCAGUCCUGUGGAAGGGAACAAAGGUGUGCUGAUAUCUAGGGGGAGAACUUCACAAACAAUGGCCGAGGAUAAUGUGAAGGUGGCUGUUGACAUGACCAGCAGAAAACACAACCGUCACUAUCAUUUCUGACUAACUGCAUUACUGUAGUAAGACCUAACAACUCUGAUCAGCUUUACUUUUUUCAGUCUUGUUUGGGUUCAGAACAUUUCUGAGUGAUUAGCCACACAGGUCUAUAAAUAUCGAUGCCUUUCAUUAUUGUAUUCUCAGUACUUGGCCUAACAUAUAGCACAUAGAAAACCCUCAAUAAAUAUCGAUGGAGUCAAUGAGCAAGUGAAUGAAGGUUCCAGGAAGAGAAAAAAGUGACCACCCAGUGUCUCUGCGCAGAGGGAGUAUCACACGCUACAUGCCAAGGACCCUUUUGACAGGCGCUGGAGCUGCAGAUUCCUUCUGGGAAUAAUGUUCUGAAACAUACACCUCUACAGAAAAAGCCAGUUAUUCUGAAAUACAAAUGUAAACUAGGAAAACAUUGUGACAUCAUCACAGACAUGCUGCGAUGGUACAGUCCCCACUUGCCAAGUCACACAGCCCUCCCUGCAGAGUUCUGGUGGGACUGGUACACUUGAAAUUUCCAUCUGAGAGAAUCUGUGAUUUUUUUGUUCUGGGGUUCUCAGACAGGAAUCUUCUGUACCCCCAUCUGGGAAGCCACUGUGCUCAGAGACAAGAGGUGGAAAGAGGCCUGGGCUCUGCUCUGGGUGUGUCCCUUUUCACUUUCUCCAUUAUUUUCCUUAAGGUGUCUUUACCUCAGCUGGACAUGUUGUCCCUGAACCCAGAAUCUGUCGGUCUAACCUCUUCAGUCUUCUCUGAGAUGGAAUCCUCAAAGUCGCCACCUUGUUCAUCAUCAUCACUGAACCCAGUCACAGGCCAGGAGCUGUGCCAGGCAUGCCCACCUAUGUCUGCCAUCACCGUGUUCCAAGUGUUGGCAACAGCACACACAGUGCCUUCAUGCUCAACUCCUGCUGAAAACUUCCACACUCACACAGCUGUUCCCUGCUGCCAGCAUGCUGUUUACGAAAAUGUUUUAUAUUUAUUCUUUAGUCACUUAAGGAAGCUCUGGUCACAUGGCUAAAUUAAUCAAGCCACAUUUAAGGAAAGUACUUGGCAUAAACAUUAUUUGUGAGCAGUUCAGCAGAAGGUGAGCACACAGAUCUUGCAGUCUUCACCCGGUCCAGCUUCCCUGCAAUGAGCACGAACAGCUGGCACAAAACAGGAAACCAACACAAAGAGGUCCCUCAUGCCCAGGCCUUUCUGUGACUAGCAAGACAUUCCCUCUUUAAAACCUUGGUCCACCACACCACGUUGACGCUAUGUGUACCUGCUUCAGUAGAAGGUCCUGGCACAGUUAUUAUCUUCUCGGUCCUUAAUUCCUUUGGGGCUGUCUCAUCAGCUGUGCCAGUGACUCUCUGGGCAGUGACACCCAAACAGUGAUGUUUCCUCAGGAUUUCAGACUUGUUCUAGCAUCAGAUUUUCCUCUGCAAUGACCUUGGCAAGCUUGUCUGUGAAUUUCUCUGCUGCUUUGUGAUAAGAAGAUGCUUCAUCACCACAAAUCUUUAAAAAUUUAAUGCCGUAUCUCAAAUUUCUGCAACUAGCCUGUUGAAGUUCAUGAUAACCUCAGUUCUCAGUCCAUGGGGAUGGAUCUUUGUUUCAUGACCAACAUUCCAUUAAAGGGCACAUGAUCACUCUGACGCUAAUGGACCCACUCAAUACACAACCGAGACCUUCAUAUUUGCCUUUGUGCAGUGAUUAUCUAUUUUUUACCAACUUCUUUUUGUCACUUUCACACAGAACUUCACCCGUUUGUCCCUCCAACCCUUUAGGUGGUAUGCAGCGGCCACUGCAACACCGUGUUCUUUGGUAAAACAUUUUGCUCUUGCAUUGCUCUGCAGUUUCUCUAACAGCUUGACUUUCUCUGCUAGAGAUAAACAAAUGGCUUCCUCUUUUUCUUAUCAUUGUUACCCAUACAAGUGUCCACAGACCUUUUUGACAUUUUCACCAAUAUCUUUAUAUCACAGAGCACAGAAUACAAAAAAUAAAAAUUAAAAAAAAAACAGUUAGAUAAUGCAUGUAGGUAUGGAUGCCACGCGGGCAUUGCGGGGCACCUGCCCUCAGCACAUGGGGCUCACACAUGUGCCAUGUUAUCCUCUGUGGAUGGUGGAUAUGUGUGAAAAGACAUCACACCUGAAGGAGGCUGAGAUGGUCUCAUGUUCCUUGGGGCACUGAAUAAACUGCACUGUGUGUCUGUGUUUUGACUGUGACCUAUCACACCAGGUCAUGAAUUUCUUCCCUUCUGGCAUCAGUGGGUGCUCAGAAAGUUUUGGAUUUUGGAUUUUCAGAUUAGGGAUGCUCAACCUGAACCUAAUAUGGGAGACAAGAAUGGUGUAUUGUAUAAAAUGAA